AUGGCACUGCUUCAAAACUCACCCUCUUUAGUGGGCAUGGAGGAGGACAGGGGCUGUGGGGGGGAGGUAAGGGUGGAGGUGGUGAUGGAGGUAAAGGGGGAGACCAGGGUGGAGCUGGGGGAGGUGAGGACAUCGCUGGUGUCACAGGAGACAGUUCUCAGACCACGGCUUGCUCUCCUCAGAAACUCAGCCUGGAGCUGGGGACUGGACAAGGAGAGGGGUGGAGGAGGGGAGGAAAGAGGUGGAGGAGGGGAGGAAAGAGGGGUAGGAGGGGAGGAGAAGAGGGACACAGAGGGGGAGACAGAGGGAGAGGGUUGGUGGGGAAGGUUUUUGAAUCUAGCCGAAUCGUUGUCGGGGGAAGCAGCUCUGGGAGCUCUUCUCAGAAACUCAGCCUGGAGCUGGGGACUGGACAGAGAGAGGGGUGGAGGAGGGGAGGAAAGAGGGGGAGGAGGGGAGGACACAGAGGGAGAGGGUUGGUGGAGAAGGUUUUGGUGUCUAGCCGAGUCGUUGUCAGGGGAAGCAGCUCUGGGAGCUCUUCUCAGAAACUCAGCCUGGAGCUGGGGACUGGCCAGAGAGAGGGGUGGAGGAGGGGUGGAGGAGGGGGAGACAGAGGGAGAGGGUUGGUGGAGAAGGUUUUGGUGUCUAGCCGAGUCGUUGUCAGGGGAAGCAGCUCUGGGAGCUCUUCUCAGAAACUCAGCCUGGAGCUGUGGACUGGACAGAGAGAGGGGUGGAGGAGGGGAGGAAAGAGGGGGAGGAGGGGAGGACACAGAGGGAGAGGGUUGGUGGAGAAGGUUUUGGUGUCUAGCCGAGUCGUUGUCAGGGGAAGCAGCUCUGGGAGCUCUUCUCAGAAACUCAGCCUGGAGCUGGGGACUGGCCAGAGAGAGGGGUGGAGGAGGGGAGGGGAAGGGGGAGACAGAGGGAGAGGGUUGGUGGAGAAGGUUUUGGUGUCUAGCCGAGUCGUUGUCAGGGGAAGCAGCUCUGGGAGCUCUUCUCAGAAACUCAGCCUGGAGCUGGGGACUGGACAGAGAGAGGGGUGGAGGAGGGGAGGAGGGCUGA
rnacentral:lncRNA from 1 species